GGGUUGUGAGGUUAAGCGACUAAGCGUACACGGUGGAUGCCCUGGCAGUCAGAGGCGAUGAAGGACGUGCUAAUCUGCGAAAAGCGCCGGCGAGGUGAUAUGAACCUUUGACCCGGCGAUGUCCGAAUGGGGAAACCCAGUGUGUUCCGACACACUAUCGUUAACUGAAUACAUAGGUUAACGAGGCGAACCGGGGGAACUGAAACAUCUAAGUACCCCGAGGAAAAGAAAUCAACCGAGAUUCCCCCAGUAGCGGCGAGCGAACGGGGAGCAGCCCAGAGUCUGAAUCAGCUUGUGUGUUAGUGGAAGCGUCUGGAAAGUCGCACGGUACAGGGUGACAGUCCCGUACACGAAAACGCACAGGUUGUAAACUCGAAGAGUAGGGCGGGACACGUGGUAUCCUGUCUGAAUAUGGGGGGACCAUCCUCCAAGGCUAAAUACUCCUGACUGACCGAUAGUGAACCAGUACCGUGAGGGAAAGGCGAAAAGAACCCCGGCGAGGGGAGUGAAAAAGAACCUGAAACCGUGUACGUACAAGCAGUGGGAGCACCUUCGUGGUGUGACUGCGUACCUUUUGUAUAAUGGGUCAGCGACUUAUAUUCUGUAGCAAGGUUAACCGUAUAGGGGAGCCGAAGGGAAACCGAGUCUUAACUGGGCGUUAAGUUGCAGGGUAUAGACCCGAAACCCGGUGAUCUAGCCAUGGGCAGGUUGAAGGUUGGGUAACACUAACUGGAGGACCGAACCGACUAAUGUUGAAAAAUUAGCGGAUGACUUGUGGCUGGGGGUGAAAGGCCAAUCAAACCGGGAGAUAGCUGGUUCUCCCCGAAAGCUAUUUAGGUAGCGCCUCGUGAACUCAUCUUCGGGGGUAGAGCACUGUUUCGGCUAGGGGGCCAUCCCGGCUUACCAACCCGAUGCAAACUACGAAUACCGAAGAAUGUUAUCACGGGAGACACACGGCGGGUGCUAACGUCCGUCGUGAAGAGGGAAACAACCCAGACCGCCAGCUAAGGUCCCAAAGUCAUGGUUAAGUGGGAAACGAUGUGGGAAGGCACAGACAGCCAGGAUGUUGGCUUAGAAGCAGCCAUCAUUUAAAGAAAGCGUAAUAGCUCACUGGUCGAGUCGGCCUGCGCGGAAGAUGUAACGGGGCUAAACCAUGCACCGAAGCUGCGGCAGCGACGCUUAUGCGUUGUUGGGUAGGGGAGCGUUCUGUAAGCCGUUGAAGGUGUGCUGUGAGGCAUGCUGGAGGUAUCAGAAGUGCGAAUGCUGACAUAAGUAACGAUAAAGCGGGUGAAAAGCCCGCUCGCCGGAAGACCAAGGGUUCCUGUCCAACGUUAAUCGGGGCAGGGUGAGUCGACCCCUAAGGCGAGGCCGAAAGGCGUAGUCGAUGGGAAACAGGUUAAUAUUCCUGUACUUGGUGUUACUGCGAAGGGGGGACGGAGAAGGCUAUGUUAGCCGGGCGACGGUUGUCCCGGUUUAAGCAUGUAGGCGGAACGAUUAGGUAAAUCCGGUCGUUUAUUAACGCUGAGGUGUGAUGACGAGGCACUACGGUGCUGAAGUAACAAAUGCCCUGCUUCCAGGAAAAGCCUCUAAGCAUCAGGUAACAUUAAAUCGUACCCCAAACCGACACAGGUGGUCAGGUAGAGAAUACCAAGGCGCUUGAGAGAACUCGGGUGAAGGAACUAGGCAAAAUGGUGCCGUAACUUCGGGAGAAGGCACGCUGAUAUGUAGGUGAAGCCCCUGCGGGUGGAGCUGAAAUCAGUCGAAGAUACCAGCUGGCUGCAACUGUUUAUUAAAAACACAGCACUGUGCAAACACGAAAGUGGACGUAUACGGUGUGACGCCUGCCCGGUGCCGGAAGGUUAAUUGAUGGGGUUAGCGGCAACGCGAAGCUCUUGAUCGAAGCCCCGGUAAACGGCGGCCGUAACUAUAACGGUCCUAAGGUAGCGAAAUUCCUUGUCGGGUAAGUUCCGACCUGCACGAAUGGCGUAAUGAUGGCCAGGCUGUCUCCACCCGAGACUCAGUGAAAUUGAACUCGCUGUGAAGAUGCAGUGUACCCGCGGCAAGACGGAAAGACCCCGUGAACCUUUACUAUAGCUUGACACUGAACACUGGUCCUUGAUGUGUAGGAUAGGUGGGAGGCUUUGAAGCGUGGACGCCAGUCUGCGUGGAGCCGUCCUUGAAAUACCACCCUUUAAUGGCUGGUGUUCUAACGUAGACCCGUAAUCCGGGUUGCGGACAGUGUCUGGUGGGUAGUUUGACUGGGGCGGUCUCCUCCCAAAGAGUAACGGAGGAGCACGAAGGUUAGCUAAUCCUGGUCGGACAUCAGGAGGUUAGUGCAAUGGCAUAAGCUAGCUUGACUGCGAGAGUGACGGCUCGAGCAGGUGCGAAAGCAGGUCAUAGUGAUCCGGUGGUUCUGAAUGGAAGGGCCAUCGCUCAACGGAUAAAAGGUACUCCGGGGAUAACAGGCUGAUACCGCCCAAGAGUUCAUAUCGACGGCGGUGUUUGGCACCUCGAUGUCGGCUCAUCACAUCCUGGGGCUGAAGUAGGUCCCAAGGGUAUGGCUGUUCGCCAUUUAAAGUGGUACGCGAGCUGGGUUUAGAACGUCGUGAGACAGUUCGGUCCCUAUCUGCCGUGGGCGCUGGAGAAUUGAGGGGGGCUGCUCCUAGUACGAGAGGACCGGAGUGGACGCAUCACUGGUGUUCGGGUUGUCAUGCCAAUGGCACUGCCCGGUAGCUAAAUGCGGAAAAGAUAAGUGCUGAAAGCAUCUAAGCACGAAACUUGCCCCGAGAUGAGUUCUCCCUGAGACUUUAAGUCUCCUGAAGGAACGUUGAAGACGACGACGUUGAUAGGUCGGGUGUGUAAGCGCAGCGAUGCGUUGAGCUAACCGAUACUAAUGAACCGUGAGGCUUAACCUUACAACGCCGAAG
rnacentral:rRNA from 2 species